UAGAGCCCUGCCCUGGGGAGGGACUAUCUGAGCAAGGCCCUGUCAAGGAGGGCAGGGUGGAAAUGAUUCACCAGUGUCUUUAGCAAUCCUGGGCCCCGCCCUAGGGCGGCUGUUAGCCGAGAUGCUGAUCUGUUUCUUCUUGGAGACCCUGGGUGAAGGCUGUCCAUUCGUUGCAGGAGUCUCCGAGCGAGAUCACCCUGAGGAGGAUCACAGAGCGAGAUAGAGAGCGCAUG